AGGAUUUUUUUUACAAUAAUGCGGCAGUCUUAUGGAAUCUAGCUUAGGCGUACACGAAGCCGACUCAUGUCAUGCGCUGAUCUCAUACGCUAUGUUACCCGACACACGUGAGGGCGAGCGCGUUGGCACGCGGCGGCG